AGGACGAACGCUGGCGGCGUGCUUAACACAUGCAAGUCGAGCGGUGAUCCUCCUUCGGGAGGUGAUCAGCGGCGAACGGGUGAGUAACACGUAAGGGCAACCUGCCCCUCACACUGGGAUAAACCUCGGGAAACCGGGGCUAAUACCGGAUACGACCUCGAGCGGCAUCUCUUGAGGUGGAAAGCUCCGACGGUGAGGGAUGGGCCCGCGGCCUAUCAGCUUGUUGGUGGGGUAAUGGCCUACCAAGGCGACGACGGGUA
rnacentral:rRNA from 1 species